rnacentral:misc_RNA from 1 species
AUAAUAUAUCUUUAUAGGUGCAACCAACUUCAGAUACUUGUUAUUGUGUAGUGUAGUAAGACAUAGAUCUGAAUAUAUAAUGACAAAGCCGUACAUCUCAAAUGCCCAGCAAUGUCUUGAAGACCGAGGUUUGCCUCGAGAGUUAUUCAGAUCUACACAAAGUGCACAGGUGGUAACAAAAAUGGAACAGACGUGCACAUGUCCCGCAGAACCAGCAACAAUCUGAAACCAAGCUUAUUCAAUAAUGAUCCUUCCGCAGGUUCACCUACGGAAA